rnacentral:rRNA from 1 species
GAUUAACGCUGGCGGCGUGCAUAACACAUGCAAGUCGAACGAUGAAACUUAAAUGAUUUCUUCGGAAUGAACUUAAGUGGAUUAGUGGCGGACGGGUGAGUAACGCGUGAGUAACCUGCCUUACACAAGGGGAUAGCCGUUGGAAACGACGAAUAAUACCCUAUGAUGUUUCUAUCUCGCAUGAGAUAUUAACCAAAGUGUUAGCGGUGUAAGAUGGACUUGCGUCUGAUUAGCUAGUUGGUGAGAAAAAAGCCCACCAAGGCAACGAUCAGUAGCCGGCGUGAGAGAGUGUACGGCCACAUUGGGACUGAGACACGGCCCAGACUCCUACGGGAGGCAGCAGUGGGGAAUUUGGCACAAUGGGGGAAACCCGGAUGCAGCGACGCCGCGUGAUUUAGAAGGCCUUCGGGUUGUAAAAAUCUUUUGUAUAGGAAGAAAAUGACAGUACUAUACGAAUAAGGUCCGGCUAAUUACGUG